rnacentral:rRNA from 1 species
UAGGGAAUCUUCGGCAAUGGACGAAAGUCUGACCGAGCAACGCCGCGUGAGUGAAGAAGGUUUUCGGAUCGUAAAACUCUGUUGUUAGAGAAGAACAAGGACGUUAGUAACUGAACGUCCCCUGACGGUAUCUAACCAGAAAGCCACGGCUAACUACGUGCCAGCAGCCGCGGUAAUACGUAGGUGGCAAGCGUUGUCCGGAUUUAUUGGGCGUAAAGCGAGCGCAGGCGGUUUCUUAAGUCUGAUGUGAAAGCCCCCGGCUCAACCGGGGAGGGUCCUUGGCAACUGGGAGACUUGAGUGCAGAAGAGGAGAGUGGAAUUCCAUGUGUAGCGGUGAAAUGCGUAGAUAUAUGGAGGAACACCAGUGGCGAAGGCGGCUCUCUGGUCUGUAACUGACGCUGAGGCUCGAAAGCGUGGGGAGCAAACAGG